ACGCUGACAGAAUGCUUAACACAUGCAAGUCAAUGGGGAAACGGUGCUUGCACCGUGAUAACCAUGGCGGACGGGUGAGUAACGCGUAAAGAACUUGCCUCUUAGUCUGGGAUAACAGAUGGAAACGACUGAUAAGACUAGAUACUAUUAAAGCUUCGCAUGAAGCUUUAAUGAAAAGAGAUGCUAAGAGAGAGCUUUGCGUCCUAUUAGUUAGUUGGUGAGGUAACGGCUCACCAAGACGAAGACAGGUAGCCGGUCUGAGAGGACGAACGGCCACAAGGGGACUGAGAUACGGCCCUUACUCUUACGGGAGGCAGCAGUGGGGAAUAUUGGACAAUGGAGGAGACUCUGAUCCAGCAAUUCUGUGUGCACGAAGACGGUUUUCGGAUUGUAAAGUGCUUUCAGCAGGGAAGAAGGAAGUGACGGUACCUGCAGAAGAAGCGGCGGCUAAAUACGUGCCAGCAGCCGCGGUAAUACGUAUGUCGCGAGCGUUAUCCGGAAUUAUUGGGCAUAAAGGGCAUCUAGGCGGAUAUACAAGUCAGGGGUGAAAACUUAGGGCUCAACUCAAAGCUUGCCUUUGAAACUGUAUAUCUAGAGUGCUGGAGAGGUGGACGGAACUACACGAGUAGAGGUGAAAUUCGUAGAUAUGUGUAGGAAUGCCGAUGAUGAAGAUAGUCCACUGGACAGCAACUGACGCUGAAGUGCGAAAGCUAGGGGAGCAAACAGGAUUAGAUACCCUGGUAGUCCUAGCUGUAAACGAUGAUUACUGGGUGUGGGCAUGAAGAGUGUCUGUGCCGAAGCUAAUGCGAUAAGUAAUCCGCCUGGGGAGUACGACCGCAAGGUUGAAACUCAAAGGAAUUGACGGGGACCCGCACAAGCGGUGGAGCAUGUGGUUUAAUUCGACGCAACGCGAGGAA
rnacentral:rRNA from 1 species